UUGAUGGCGACCGGCGCACGGGUGCGUAACGCGUAUGCAACCUACCUUUUACAGGGGCAUAACACUGAGAAAUUGGUACUAAUUCCCCAUAAUAUCUGAGACGGCAUCGUUUUGGGUUGAAAACUCCGGUGGUAAAAGAUGGGCAUGCGUUGUAUUAGCUAGUUGGUGAGGUAACGGCUCACCAAGGCGACGAUACAUAGGGGGGACUGAGAGGUUAACCCCCCACAUUGGUACUGAGACACGGACCAAACUCCUACGGAAGGCAGCAG
rnacentral:rRNA from 1 species